rnacentral:sRNA from 1 species
CACAACUAUUACAAAUUCAGGCAGAUUCUGAAAAGGAAUAUCCCGCUGACUCGACUAGACUGGAAAGUUGAUCGCAGCACAAGGUUUGAUUUUUGGGUGGAGGAGGAUGUCUUGGUCUGCUUAUCGUAUAUCUCUGAAACAUUUAAGAACACAAUUCGCCACAUUGACAUUGCCUUGCGGUAUAGCUCUGAAAAGUUUGCUCCCUUGUUUGAUGACAUUAUAAGAAGGUGUCUGAAACUUCAAACGCUGUCAGUCAAGGCCCCGGAUGACGAGAAUCAAACUCUAGAGAAAGCGUUGACACAAUUUGUGUUCUGGGCCUCCAUCCGACAGACGAAAUGUGCCAUCAGGGAGUUGAAGUUCAACGGGAAGAAUAUCCACCUGGAAAGAUCCAGCCUCAACUCCACAGUCAAGUGGCUAUUUGGGCGCUUCAUGUAGCUCCAUGGUUUCAGAUAAAAGUGCUUUGAUAAUCAGCGAAUGUUGAACACAAAGGUUUCUCGUUCUGAUAGGUGUGAAACAAGUGAAGCUGUAUUUGACAUCCAUAGUCAGUAAGUUAGUAAUCUCUCAGCAGACAACACACUUUCUGGAGCGUAACAUCUGGUAGCCAUAGAAGAGUUUCUGAACAUAUUAACUGUAUAAUACCUAAAGGGAGGUAAACUCUACAAAGAGUUCUUUUAUUUUCUCGUUACACAACUAUCAAUUUGAAGUAGUUGACACUUAAACCUAUAAAAAUCAUAUUAUGUAUCAUGGCAUUGUCUAAAAUAUGGCCUUUGCUGUGGUAUGGUUAAUAUAUAUGUUAUAUUUUGUAUUAUGCACAUGCAUGUUAUGAUAAUUGUCCUUACCUCCCUUUUUUAUCGUCUUUCUUUUAUGGUCAGAAGAUCAGCAGUCUUUUAACUCCACAGUCCAAUAGAUAUGUAUAUCAGGCUAUUCGUUUCUAUCUAGUGGAUUGUUCAUUCAUAGCAAUUAGGCUACAUAUACAUCAUGUUUUACAAACAAAAAUGCUCGUAUGAAUGUGUCUUUCUGAUCAUGUAAUCUGUGAAUGUGUGAAUAUAAAGCAGUUUUUAUUAUCUUUUUAAAUACUAUAUUUAUUUAGUAUUGAAUGUUAAGAGUUUUUUUUAGCGAAAUUAUAUUAAUUUAUUUACAAGUGAUAAAUUGUAUAGAAAGAUUUAUACCUACCACAAAGUAAUUGGUUAUAUAAUAUGCACAUGUUAUAGAUUGUAUUAAUACAUCAAUAUACACCUCAAUUUGUCAUGCCAUAAAACACUAAAGCUGUCAUGUUCAGAUAUUGCCGUUGCACAGAAACUUUAAUUCAAUAUGGUCGAAGUCCUAACUCGUUUUACGGUUUUUUUAGGAGCUAAGGGAAAUAACUUUGUUCCAUUUAGUGGACUCCUCUUCUGAAAAAAAAUAGCUUUGUGUAUAUAUAUAUAUAGUCAUAUCUUAUCUGUGUUCAGCCAUUUACAGAGAACAGGAUAAGAAAUCCUUAGAGCUAACUUCAUGUCAAUCUACAAGUCUUCAGUUUUUUAAUAAGCUCCAGAAUUUCUCAAACUUUCUUUAGGGAACAAGGAUUUCGUCGCACAAGUUUCAACAUUGAUAUCCGUUACGAAUUUGUAAAAUAUAUUAUAAGGGCCUCUAUCUAGAUGAAAGUACCACUAUAUACAAAUAUACACUAAAGUUCUCUACUCCGGACUGUAUCCAUUCCCAAACAUGUUUCUCGUUCACAAUAAAUGAAUAGAAAACUAAUUGAAGCCUGAUUUUACAUGCAUCAUUUUGUUUAAAUUUGAGUCUUAUUGAUGUAUAUAGUAGAUACUUGUGCAAUUGAUUAUAUCAGUAAUCAUUAAAAUGUUAUCAAUUAACUCAGAA